rnacentral:lncRNA from 1 species
ACUUCCGGCGGGAGGCGGAGGCGGAGGCGCAGGCGCUGGCUGGCAGGUGUCGCUAACCGGACGGUGGUCGCCAGGGCGAGAGGCGGGAGCCGGAGAGGACUCAGGUACUUCUGCCCUCCCUUUGGUCUCCCUGUUCUUCUAUGUGGUGACAGAUGGCAAGGAAGUCCUACUACCAGAGGUUGGGGCCAAGGGGCAGUUGAAGUUUAUCAGUGGGCACACCAGUGAACUUGGUGACUUCCGCUUUACACUUUUGCCACCAACCAGUCCAGGGGAUACAGCCCCCAAGUAUGGCAGCUACAAUGUCUUCUGGACCUCCAACCCAGGACUGCCCCUGCUGACAGAGAUGGUAAAGAGUCGCCUAAAUAGCUGGUUUCAGCAUCGGCCCCCAGGGGCCCCCCCUGAACGCUACCUCGGCUUGCCAGGAUCCCUGAAGUGGGAGGACAGAGGUCCAAGUGGGCAAGGGCAGGGGCAGUUCUUGAUACAGCAGGUGACCCUGAAAAUUCCCAUUUCCAUAGAGUUUGUGUUUGAAUCA